rfam:Aedes albopictus isolate Foshan contig143886, whole genome shotgun sequence.
UAGCCUAGUGGUUAAGGCUAUGGAUCGCCAAUCCGGACAUGGCGGGUUCAAUUCCCGU